rnacentral:misc_RNA from 1 species
GAUGAAGAACGUAGUGAAAUGCGAUAAGUAGUGUGAAUUGCAGAAUUCAGUGAAUCAUCGAAUCUUUGAACGCACAUUGCGCCCCUUGGUAUUCCAUGGGGCAUGCCUGUUCGAGCGUCAUUUGUACCCUCAAGCUCUGCUUGGUGUUGGGUGUUUGUCUCGCGGUUCUGCGCAGACUCGCCUUAAAACAAUUGGCAGCCGGCUUGUUAGCCUGGAGCGCAGCACAUAUUGCGCCUCUUGCUAGCGACUGCCCGGCACCCAUCAAGCCCAUUUAUUUGCUCUUGACCUCGGAUCAGGUAGGGAUACCCGCUGAACUUAAGCAUAUCAAUAAGCGGAGGA